rnacentral:lncRNA from 1 species
UCGGCAUUGUAUAGCUUCUAAUGUGUUUAUGUAGUCCUUAGUAGAUGGAUCCCAGAUGGUGCUAGAGUAUUCCAUGAGUGGUCUUACAAGCUCUUGAUAACAUAAUGCUUUUGUUUUACUAGGACAACUUUUGAUGUUCCUUUGAAGAAAAGCUCGGGUGGAGUUAGCUUUCUUUGCGAUGUUGUCAAUGUGUUUGUUCCAACUCAAUGUUUUGUGUAUAGAGACGCC